UUUCUGCUGAAGCAAACCGGUCCGCCCUCUGGGUGAGCAUCUGGUUUUGUUUUGGCAUAUGCUUAGACUUUGCAGCUGCACUUGACUGUGUGGUGUGAAGGCUGAGCCAUUUACUUUGAGGAAAUCAGAGUGUUUCAAGCAGGCCAUUGCCUUGAAUACACUAGCAUGGAAUAAUAUGAUAUGACUGUGGUUUUAUUUUGUUGGCUUUUAGAAUUAGAGUAAUGGUUAAUAGGGAUAGUUGGGGGCAUUCAUAUUUAACU
rnacentral:rRNA from 1 species